AUAAAUGCACCUUUAGGGAUGAUUGGGAUGGCGCUGCACAACAACACAUCAUGGUUAAACUGUACUGCCUGCCUAAUUGUCUCCUCAAUUGAGGGUUCAUUAAACGCUUCUGUGUAAGUCA